UACGUAGGGUGCGAGCGUUUAAUCGGAAUUACUGGGCGUAAAGCGUGCGCAGGCGGUUCGUUGUGUCGGCGGUGAAAGCCCCGGGCUUAACCUGGGAAUGGCCGUUGAAACUGGCGAACUGGAGUGUGGCAGAGGGGGUGGAAUUCCGCGUGUAGCAGUGAAAUGCGUAGAGAUGCGGAGGAACACCGAUGGCGAAGGCAGCCCCCCUGGGCUGACACUGACGCUCAGGCACGAAAGCGUGGGGAGCAAACAGG
rnacentral:rRNA from 1 species